GGUAACAGAGCGCACCUGUGCUUGGUUCCUCCUUUAAGGCUGGCCUGGCAGCCACUCCUGACCCCUGAGUCCUGACGGGAGGGACUGUGCAGUUCCUUCCCUGGUCCCUGCCUGGGAGAUGCCUGUCAAGUUGGGUCAGGCUUUGCCUCCACUCCUGGGUCGGAAAGGCUGAUGAGCGAGACUGGCCCUGGCGGAGUUUGUAGGUGGGGUGGCAAUGCUUCCUGCAAGUUUCAUUAGUUGGAGGCAUGACUUUCAGGUUCAAACCAGCUGGAAAAGUCAGGGCAGCCUACCAAAAAUAGGCUGGCAGCAGGGCUUAGCAGGAGGGCCCCAGGCUGACUGAGAGUCAGGAGACUGACUUCUGUUUGUUUUUAAAGCACGCCUCUGCCCUUCCCGGCUGUGGGCUUUUCAUUCCCUCAAAGGGCCUCAGUUUCAUCAGCUGUAAAAUGAAGAGGGUGGACCAGCCGAUGGAUCGUAUGACUCCAGGGACGGAGGAGGCUCAGGACAGCGGCGUGGGGUUUGUGGGUGAGCUGCCGAGGGCGAGCACCCCAGACAGAACAAAGCCUCUGCUGGAGGGGACAGGAGGCUUUUCAGAGUGGUGACUCUCAGAAGGUAUUUCCAUGGAUUUCACCUGGCGGCCCACCCGUCUCAGGCAAGUCUCACGCCAGCGGUCCUGCCUUGUGGCCUCCAGGUAAUUCGGCAGAACUAACAACGCAAGAAAUUUGCCAAUCAGCUUCCUCUCAGGAGAGCAGCUUCCCUCUGGGAACACAUCCAUCAAGACCACCUGCCCUGCCUGCAAGGAUUCUGGGAUACCUGUUUGCCUUCCGCAUGACUUCUAAAGUGGAGUUCCUCAAGACUUGGGCUCUCUAGAACACAAAGCACAGUGCCUACAAUAUAUGAAGUACUCAAAAAAUGCUGGCUGAAUGGAAAGAUGGAGAGAAUGGAAGUUGUUUAAGGUCUCAGAGGAAGUUAGUGUCAAAGCUGAGAUUCAAAAUCAAGUCUCCUUCAGAUCUUUAAAUUACUUCAUUUUAGAGAAUUACUCCACACUUCCUACAUUAGAUACUUUAUUUCUAAGUGCUUUUGACAUACUUUAAUAAGUGCUCUACUGUAUACAAUUCUGUGUAACAUUCUGAAUAAUAUUGUUAAUGCCUAUCUUAAGUGCUAGCAUCUCCAUAUUAUUUAACAAACUUUUUUCAUAUUUUAAAAUAAAGUCAGUAUUUGAAAACUACUGUGGCUUUCACAAAAUAACAUUUACCGAAUAAGUCAGGACAAUUAUAUCUUAAUUUUUACAUAGGCAAAAUAAGCUAAAUUAAUUUUAAGGGGAAAAAUUGUGAUUAAUGUGAUUUUUACUUCAAAUAUUAAAUAUCUUCAACAAUCACUAAGGCUGAAUGACUCAAUAUUCUAGCUGUGUGACUUUGGGCCAGUUAUUAAAGUGUAGUCUGCUGAGACCAUACCUUAUCUGGCCAUAGCUUCCCUCCCGUCUUUCAAUUUCUUUAUAGCUUAAGCAUUUAUAAUUCUCUAACACAAUAAAAAUUAAUUCAGUGAAAAUUUAUUGUAUGUCCACUCUGUGAAAGUCAUUGUUCCAGGUGCUGGGAAUUCAGCUUAUACUUCUGUGGAGGAAGACAGACAUUAAACAUGUAAAUAUAUGAAUAAGAUUAUCUCAGAUGCUUUUAAAGUUGGGGAGAGAACAGGGGAGAAGAGAGGUUUAGUCAAUCAGUAAACGUCUCUGAGGUAUCUUCUGAGAUGAGACAUGAAUGAUAAGAAGCCAGCCCAGAGAUGAUUUGGGAAAAGGCAGUCCAUGUAAAGCAGUUUUUUCAAACUGCAGGCCCUGACCUAUUUGUGGACCAUGAAAUCAGUUAAGUGGGCUGGACCAUAAUUGAAAAAAUAUUAGAACCCAUCCCAUGAAAUAACACUUGU